rnacentral:rRNA from 1 species
UACGUAGGGGGCAAGCGUUGUCCGGAAUUAUUGGGCGUAAAGAGCUCGUAGGCGGUCUGUCGCGUCUGCUGUGAAAACUCAGGGCUUAACCCUGAGCUUGCAGUGGGUACGGGCAGACUAGAGUGCGGUAGGGGAGACUGGAAUUCCUGGUGUAGCGGUGAAAUGCGCAGAUAUCAGGAGGAACACCGGUGGCGAAGGCGGGGUCUCUGGGCCGUAACUGACGCUGGAGGAGCGGAAAGCAUGGGGAGCGAACAGG